rnacentral:tRNA from 1 species
GGACAAUUAGCUCAGCUGGUUAGAGCACUACAUUCACAUUGUAGAGGUCAUUGGUUCGAAGCCAAUAUUGUCCA